CCCCCAAGGGAGGCCUAUCACACCAUCUGAAGGGGGAGCAGUACACUGCUUGAAACAACAAAACCAAAAAAAAUUCAAAAGAAAACACAAAAACACACCCCAAAGAUGUUGCUGAUAGGCCUCCUUGGGGGGUCAUGCACCCUCGGGUGAGAAUCACUGGGUGGAAGGGGCAGAGAGGAGAGCUGGGCAGAGAGGCGAAGCAUGAGCAGGUGAGGAGGUGGGGGUAUGAGACUCAAGCAUGUCAGAAUGGGGCUAAGGGACCCUGGACCAGGCAGACAGCAAGCAAAGGGAUGUAGCCGAGAAAUCACCUGGAAGGAUAGAGGGUGGCACCCUGGGCUUCACCUGGAGUGAGUAGGGAGGAGAGCACCAAGGUUUGGUCCAGGCACUGAGGCCUCUUGAGGAGGAGGGCUGAGGGAGACAGGAGCGACCAACGGGGAAAUUUAGGGUGGACUGAUGUGAUCAGAGAGCACCUGAAGGGCUGUAGAGCAGAAGCAAGGCCCAGCUGGGACUGGAGAUGAUCUGGCAGAGAGACGACGGCUGGCAGAGGAAGCAGAAGAGAGGGGCGGACAGCAAGACCCAGGGCUCUUUGCAGAGCGAGACCGAGCGCCAAGGUGUCAGGCAUGGCUGAGCAGGCACAGGGGCAAGAGGGAGGGCUGAAGGCCAAGGACCCAGAGCAGUGGCUCCCAACCUUUUUUUGCCCAUGCCCCACCUAAGCAUCUCUAAAAUCCUGAUGCUUCCCCCGGCCCGUGGCAUAUAAUUCCCAUUAUUCAAAAAGUGAACUCCGAUUCAUGUGGAGGACACCUAAAAGGCCACUAACUUGGUCUAAACAACCUUCCAAACAAGAUGGCAUCCGUGAAAGAGAAAAAGCAAAGAACAACAGACAGUUGACAUACUGAGGAAGAAAUAACCCAGAAAUUGCCCCAAAAUAACAAUUGAAGUCAUAUCAAAAAAUAGCAAAUAAACUCUUAAACAUAUAACUGAUGCCGGGGGGUAGGGGAGGCUGAUGGGAAGGUCAAUUGGGGGGAGAAGGACACAGAUGUACUAGUAUUUGUAAUGCUUGAAACGAGAAAAAAACAAAAACAAAAAAAAAACGAAACGUAUAACAGAGAACUUAAGUGAUGAAUAUGUCACAAAAGAUCUUUCUCUACUCUACUAGUAUCUGAAGCUCCAAGAAGCUUCAGAAAUGCAAGAAAUUCACUCUUAUCAACUCGUUUGAAAUCGCCCCCGUUAAAUCCAAAUUGCCCCACUGUGAACGGUGGGAACCACUGACCCAGACUGAUAAGGAAGAGGUAGGGGAAUCAGAGGAAGAGGCUCCCCAAGGGCUGUGCCCCAAGACUGUGCAACAAAGGGGUCCCAAUGGAAUCAGGAAAGGUAACCAGUACCGAGGUUCGCGUGUCCCUGGAGGAAAUCACAGUCCACGUUCACAGGCUGUGAGGAGAGGGCGUAGGCAAGCGGGCAGAUGCAGGAGAGUAUAUGAGGGCCAAGGAGAUGGCAGUGGGGUGUGCAGAAGGGGAGGAAUGAGGUAACGAGCACACAGAGCACCAUGGGCAUCAGCAAGAAGAGGUACAGUCUGUGACUGCAGAAAUGUCACCUGGCUGAGGAAGGACAGUUUUCUUGCUACCUAUGCAGUAGAGAAGCCAAGCAAGAAAGAUGAUGAACCCAGGCCCAAGAGGUAGGACUUCAGGUGAGCACAUUCGGGGUGUGGGAGAGUGUAGGAGAGGGGCCAAAUUCCAAGGGCACAAAAGAGUGAGAAAGGACAGGGGACGAAUGAACUGCACCCAAAGAAUGGUAAAGAAGGAAACCUGGGUGGCCUCUAGGAGAAGGCAGGUACUUUCCUCCCAUGGGUGGCUCAAGGGCGGGCAGGAGCCCACGCAGGCUGAAGAUCACAGAGUGGGUAAGGCCAAAGAGCAAUGCCGGCCUGGUGGGAUGAGGUCAGAGGACGACGAGGUGUGCAGAAAUGUCCCAUGGAAAAGCCUGGGGACAACCCUGUCAGAGCAGGGCUAGGCGAGAGGAGGUGAGGUUACAGAGAAGGCCAGGUAAGCCACCACCAUCUCAUAAUGGUGGACCCCCAAAGGUAAGGAACAGGGGAUAGCAGUUGAAGUCAGCAGACCCCUCUUGGGCAAGAGAGAGCGGGCAAUGGGGGAAGGAGGAGUGUAAGUGAAGAGACCAGCACAGGUCAUGGAAGGACCAAUCAAUCCUUCAUCUGACUAGCAAGUCAUAGGGGAAGUAGGAUGGGACAUUGAGGGUCAAGCAGAGGGUGGAGCAUGGAGGCAGGGAGAGGUGGGAUCGGGGGUCGAGUCUGGAGGCGUUUCUAGUGUGCCAGGGUUGGAGAGGAGGACAUGGAUUGGGAUGGGGUUGGGUGAAGGGAGCCAAGCUCCAUGCACGGGAAUACCCAACUCCUUUAAUGCACAUAGUGGGCUGAUUCCGUGUCAAGUGCUGGGCAUGAUGAGGACAACUAAGGAGCAGGAGGGCAAGACCAGGGAAUCCACCCAGAGAGUCCACUGGAGUAUAGCCCUAGCAGGAUAGGCGAAGGCAAAAGUCUGGUUGGCGGAAAACACACCAGCACCUGAGAGGACCACAGGGGCUCUGUGGAAGGAUCAUGCCAGGGGUGUGAGAGGAGGGAUAACAUCCAGAAAAGGGAGAAGAGCAAGAGCUGAGAACGUCCAGGUCCUGGGACAAAGGUACUUCCACAAGGCACCAGAGUCGUAAAGAUAGGGAGGAAGGAGUACCUUACGCGUGGGUGAGUGUGAGUGUGUGUGUGUGUGUGUGUGUGUUUGUGUGUGUGCGUGUGUGUGUGUGUGUUUUGGAAUUGUGGUGGUGGCUACAGAUAAAUAAUGGUGUUUUGCAGAUUGGGGUUGGAAGGGAGUCGGGCAGUUGCAGGAGGACAGUGUCGGGACAGUGAGAGAAUGGUGUGAAUGCUGGGAUCUUGCAGGAAAAUGUGUCAAUGGCAACCAGUAGAAGGCUAGAGGCCCAAGGGUGAGUGCAGCCCUGGAGUCAGGUUGGGCUUCCACAGCAGUGAUUCUUCCCGGGGGUGGGGGGGGUGAGUUUCACCCGAGGGGGGGGUGGGCAUGACCCCCAAGGGAGGCCUAUCACACCAUCUGAAGGGGGAGCAGUACACUGCUUGAAACAACAAAACCAAAAAAAAUUCAAAAGAAAACACAAAAACACACCCCAAAGAUGUUGCUGAUAGGCCUCCUUGGGGGGUCAUGCACCCUCGGGUGAGAAUCACUGGGUGGAAGGGGCAGAGAGGAGAGCUGGGCAGAGAGGCGAAGCAUGAGCAGGUGAGGAGGUGGGGGUAUGAGUCUCAAGCAUGUCAGAAUGGGGCUAAGGGACCCUGGACCAGGCAGACAGCAAGCAAAGGGAUGUAGCUGAGAAAUCACCUGGAAGGAUAGAGGGUGGCACCCUGGGCUUCACCUGGAGUGAGUAGGGAGCAGAGCACCAAGGUUUGGUCCAGGCACUGAGGCCUCUUGAGGAGGAGGGCUGAGGGAGACAGGAGCGACCAACGGGGAAAUUUAGGGUGGACUGAUGUGAUCAGAGAGCACCUGAAGGGCUGUAGAGCAGAAGCAAGGCCCAGCUGGGACUGGAGAUGAUCUGGCAGAGAGACGACGGCUGGCAGAGGAAGGAGAAGAGAGGGCCGGACAGCAAGACCCAGGGCUCUGUGCAGAGCGAGACCGAGCGCCAAGGUGUCAGGCAUGGCUGAGCAGGCACAGGGGCAAGAGGGAGGGCUGAAGGCCAAGGACCCAGAGCAGUGGCUCCCAACCUUUUUUUGCCCAUGCCCCACCUAAGCAUCUCUAAAAUCCUGAUGCUUCCCCCGGCCCGUGGCAUAUAAUUCCCAUUAUUCAAAAAGUGAACUCCGAUUCAUGUGGAGGACACCUAAAAGGCCACUAACUUGGUCUAAACAACCUUCCAAACAAGAUGGCAUCCGUGAAAGAGAAAAAGCAAAGAACAACAGACAGUUGACAUACUGAGGAAGAAAUAACCCAGAAAUUGCCCCAAAAUAACAAUUGAAGUCAUAUCAAAAAAUAGCAAAUAAACUCUUAAACAUAUAACUGAUGCCGGGGGGUAGGGGAGGCUGAUGGGAAGGUCAAUUGGGGGGAGAAGGACACAGAUGUACUAGUAUUUGUAAUGCUUGAAACGAGAAAAAAACAAAAAAAAAAUAAAAACGAAACGUACAAAAGAGAACUUAAG